rnacentral:misc_RNA from 1 species
GAUGAAGAACGUAGCGAAAUGCGAUACGUAAUGUGAAUUGCAGAAUUCAGUGAAUCAUCGAGUCUUUGAACGCACAUUGCGCCCCCUGGUAUUCCGGGGGGCAUGCCUGUCCGAGCGUCAUUGCUGCCCUCAAGCACGGCUUGUGUGUUGGGCCUCCGUCCUCCUCCCGGGUGACGGGCCCGAAAGGCAGCGGCGGCACCGCGUCCGGUCCUCGAGCGUAUGGGGCUUCGUCACCCGCUCUUGUAGGCCCGGCCGGCGCUUGCCGACACAUCAAUCUUUUUUCCAGGUUGACCUCGGAUCAGGUAGGGAUACCCGCUGAACUUAAGCAUAUCAAUAAGCGGAGGA